ensembl:miRNA
GGCAGCCAGGGGGAUGGGCGAGCUUGGGCCCAUUCCUUUCCUUACCCUA